AGCGGUAAGGCUCCGCAAGGGGCCCUAGAGCGGCGAACGGGUGAGUAACAGGUGGAUGAUCUGCCUUCCGGUGGGGGAUAACGGCUGGAAACGGCCGCUAAUACCGCAUUCGAUUACGGGGUUCAAUCCCUGUAAGGAAAGACGCCUUCAAGCGUCGCCGGAAGAUGAGUCCGCCCCCCAUUAGCUAGUUGGCGGGAUAAUAGCCCACCAAGGCAAUGAUGGGUAGCCGAGCUGAGAGGUUGAUCGGCCACACUGGAACUGAGACACGGUCCAGACACCUACGGGUGGCAGCAGUAGGGAAUAUUGGUCAAUGGGCGAAAGCCUGAACCAGCCAUGCCGCGUGAGUGAUGAAGGCCUUCGGGUCGUAAAACUCUUUUCUGAGGGAAGAACAUCCGGGAUAGGAAAUGAUCUCGGCUUGACGGUACCUCAGGAAUAAGCAACGGCUAACUCCGUGCCAGCAGCCGCGGUAAUACGGAGGUUGCAAGCGUUGUUCGGAAUAACUGGGCGUAAAGGGAGCGCAGGCGGUUUGGUAAGUUCAAAGUGAAAGCCCGGGGCUUAACCUCGGAAGUGCUUUGAAUACUGCCUUACUCGAGUUCGUGAGAGGAAAGCGGAAUUCCAGGUGUAGCGGUGAAAUGCGUAGAUAUCUGGAGGAACACCGGUGGCGAAAGCGGCUUUCUGGCGCGAUACUGACGCUGAGGCUCGAAAGCGUGGGGAGCGAACGGGAUUAGAUACCCCGGUAGUCCACGCCGUAAACGUUGUGCACUAGGUGUAGGAGGUAUCGACCCCUUCUGUGCCGCAGCUAACGCAUUAAGUGCACCGCCUGGGGAGU
rnacentral:rRNA from 1 species